rnacentral:lncRNA from 1 species
GCCGUUCAUCUUGGCGGCGGCGAACCCGGCGCUGUUGUUGUCGGGCGCCGGGGAUGGGGAGAAGAGGUCGGCGUUGCGGGCGCGGGGGGCGGUGUUGUCGGCGGGGGACCAGAUGGAGUCGCCGAGGGAGAGGCCGGAGAAGGUGGCCGUCUGGAGGCGCAGCUGGUCGCCGAACUGCCAGAACUCGCGGUCGUAGCCCUCCAUCGCCAUGACACGGUCUCCGCCGGCCGCCGCUGCUGCUGCUCCGAGGUGUUCUGGUCGAGCGAGCUGCGUGCGUUGCGGGAUGGGAAUGGAAAAUGGAGGCCGUGGGCGGGGGCGGAGGGGCUGCUUUUAUUAUGGGCCAGACAAGGUGCGGUGUGGUUGGUUGGUGGGGUGGCGCGGUUGGAUUGCUUCCAGUGGAAGUAUGAGAAAAC